GAGAGAGAGAGAGAGAGAGAGAGAGAGAGAGAGAGAGAGGAAAACCCCGUUGCACCGCCCAACCUCCCUCAUCCUUGGACCUAUUUAACCCCCAUCUCUCUCUCUCUCCCUCUCUCUCCCCAAAAUU
rnacentral:miRNA from 1 species